GCAGGAACUGGUCCCGGAACUUGGAGUGAGCGGCCUGUGGGCGGGGAGAGAGAGGCUUUUCUCGGGCUGUGUGUGGGCCUGUUGAGGGAGACACAGCGGCAAGAAGCUGCUGCUGGGGGUCAGGCUUGUAGCUUUUAGUCUUCUAAACACUGAUGGAAAGCUUUUGUGCUCCUGAGAUGCUGCUUGGCCUGCUGUGUUCAUCCAGCCUCACAUUUUAUUAUCUUGGAAUCUCCAGCAUCUGCAGUUCCCAUUAUCUCUGGAAAUUCAUUGUUCGGCUUCAAUUUCGCGCUGUUUUUGGACAUAGUGCCGUGAACAGUGGAAACACAGACUAGAGGCAUGUUAUAACCCUGAAAAGGACAGUUAAUUGAGUCCCUAGGUUAAAUUUCUCACCUGAAAUAUUUAAAAUAGCGCCCUUUGUUCUUCCUUUUCACAGAUAGUGUGUUGGGAGCCGGAUAUUGAACUGUGUAUGUAUGCAUGCCUGCUCCUUCGGAUAGCCCCAUUUAUGAAAGUACAGUUGUUGCUCAGUUUCUGGACCUCACUCAUGUGAUUUCGAAUUAUUUCAGGAAAAAAAGUACAAUGAGAAUCCCCAGAAAAGGAGCAGAUCUGGAGAACAGAGAACAAAGCCUCUGGUUCUGUUCAAUUUGUUAGUUUUCUUCUUUUAAAAACAAACACACGUCCCAAUGAUUAUGAACUUAAUGUUAUGUUGAUUACUUCAAUACGGUCAGACUUUCUGUAUGUUGACUUCCUCCAGGCAAAUACUUGAAGGACCAGGAUGAUGUUCUAUUUCCUCGGUGCAAAGCCAAGUCUGACCAGUUACUGCUAACAAUCAGCAGGAUGUGGCAAGUGGAUGCCAAUCUCAAAAUAUCCUUCAAUGGAUCAACGUGCUCAGCCUGAAGGCAAUGAGGAGUUUGCAAAGGGUUAGGAGUCACGUGCAGAGCAGAUCAGAUCAUGGUCAAUUCACCACAGUCUUACCAGAUCAUUAGAGCUGCUGUCCCGUUGGAGAGAGGGGAUUGGAUGGUGAUGGAACCUGAGGGUCACUGCGCCUCAGGUGAUGGAGAGAUUCAAAAGGAGAGUCCUUCACGGUAACCCCAUCCGGUGUAUGAAUUGAACCCACGCUGUUACCAAUCUAAUGCAUCACAAAGCAGCCAUCGAGGAAAGCCCCCCCUCCCCCUAACCACGUCCACUUCUGAGACAGGAAUAGUCGCUGAUCUGGAGAGUGGUUGUAAUUACAAAACAAAUAGCCUUGCCCCUCUCCCCACCCCAACGUCAUUGGAGAUAAAGAGCUUUGUAAUGAUACUGUAGCUUUAAGAGAUUAUUUUGUCCUGGUUUCUUUUGAGAGAGAGAUUGAAUGAGAGGUGUCGAGCUCGCUGGUGAAGACCGCUUGACUAAACAGCUUGAGUUUUAUUUUGUCCAGGCUGAAUGAGUGUGGCCAGCUCUCAGAUCAGGAUUUCUCGGUUUUGUUUCAUUUCACGUGCAUCUGAAGCUGUUGGGGUCUCAAAUGCCUUUGAAGCUUCAGUGGAUGUCUCCCGGCUCCUGCUGUCUCUGUAUUUUCUGUUGACUCUUUACCCUCCUGGAUUGGAGUUCUGCACGUGAGAACCUGUGUCUCAAUUUUACAUGUUUGUCAAGGAGUGUGUUUAUGGGAUGUUACUAUUUUGAAUCAGUUAAUUAGCAAUAGUUACUGUAUCUACUGUUCUGUUACAUUUCCAACAGAGUUAAGUUAUUCUUAUUUCUUCCUUCUUUUGUUGCAUUUGAACUGUCGUGUUUAAAUCCAUUGUUUUGUUUAACAUUGAGUUGUUUGCCCAAUUGCAUUGCAUCUGAAACAAGCACUUCACGUUCGCUUUUAAAAAUAAAG